rnacentral:tRNA from 1 species
GGAUUGUGGCUCAGAGGUAGAUUGCUCGCCUAGUAUGUGUGAGGCACUGGGUUCGAUCCUCAGCACCA